UCCUUUUCCUAACAUGCCUAAUACUUGCUUAUCCAUUGUCUGGUUCCUCCUUGCACAGCACGUAAACUCUACGAGAACAAGGACAGAGUAGGUAGCUCAAUGAAUGAAAGAUGACUGCAUGGAAGCCUCCACAGCAUAAGCUUCCAUGAGGAGAGCUGUUAGGGUGUUUUUUGUUUUGUUUCUUUUUUUUUUUUUUUGAGACAGAGUCUCACUCCCAGGCUGGAGUGCAAUGAGGGAAACUCCGUCUCAAAAAAAAAAAAAAAAUGCAAAUUGCUGCCACCUCUCCAACCUCUGCAUGUCACCCUCAGUCCACAAGUCAUAAAGCUCUCAAAAGAGAGCAAGCCAGUGGGGCAGAGCCCUUGCCUGUCGUGUUCACCAAGAUAUUCCCUGGUAAAUGAUUAACAGAUCUAUCUCUAAUAAAUGAGAAGCAGAUGAAUGAUCCAGUCCGGGAAGGAACUCAAAGAUCAUUCAACGUCCGUCCUCCCUUCAUAAAGGGGUCUAUAGCAGUUCAAUGAUUCAAAACUCUCCUGGGCUAUAUUAGGCUGUACACACCGAUAUUGCAUAUCGCUGACUUUCAAUAUGUGUUAGCAACCAGGAGGACCUCUGCAAUGCUGAUGCCACAUGGCCAAAGCUGAAAGACUGCUUUCACUCAUAUUGCUAGCAACUAAACCAUCAUACACUUUCCCAAAUGAAUGGAGAUGGCGGGGGGGGGGGGGAGUUCAUUCCUGAAGACAGGACAGAAAUACUCAUGGGAUCCUUCUUCUUAUUUUACUGCUGUCUGAAAACCAUGACAGCUUUCUGGGAUCAAAAUUCAAAAACUCUGCAUUAGAAAAACAAUUCAACGUUACUGCUGCUCACUGGGAUGUAUCAAUACAAAAAUAAAGCAAUCUUAAAAUGCAGAAUAUUCCGGUCUUAGACCCUAACCCUAUAAAACAGGGUUAUGAGCAGGGCACGGUGGCUCAAGCCUGUAGUCC
rnacentral:lncRNA from 10 species